UCUCUCUCUUUCUCUCCGUGCAGCUGAUAAACCCUCUCACUGCGUUUCCAGGUCUGCCACCCUCACAUCAACUAGACACUGAUCUCUGCCAAGCUGUCAAUCAAACACGGUACAGACGACUGAUACGCAGGUUUGACACGCCAGUGAUUGACAGCCGCACCGAGGGGCGUUCAGUCAGCGCAAGGGUCUGAGAAAGAGAACGAGAGAGCACACUAACAAACAGUAUGGCGUUUUAAAUGUCAUUCUUCAUAUCUGUCCACUUCAGAGUGUGUGUUCAACCCGUAUCACACUGCUGCAGCCUCAACGCACACACACACGGCGGCCGGAGACCAAAGCAAAUCUACUUAUUGUUCAAUGUAUCCAGGAAAGAGAUGCAGAUUAGGACCGUCAUAGUGUGGAUUUCAGGUGAUUUCUGUGGACAAUGAGAAGUAAUUAUCAUACUAAAGAGAUAUCAGACCACCUGCUGGUGUUUAAUACACUUGGAUGGCCUAACACAGACACAUAGACCUUGAUAUUAUAAAACCAGCGGCGAUAAACAGGUCAGAUGUCCAUUUAUAUAUCAGUGCUUUUUAAAAUAUAGACAAAAAUUAAGUUAAGGUAUCACACAUUGUAGAAAUUUGAAUAGUGUAGAAUGAAAUGACAAACAGAGCGAUUUUAAACCCACUACCAUUGGCUCCAAUAUGAUAAUGAGAUUGUAAUGAUAUGAUAAUUGUAUGGUAAUCUGGUAAGGUUAUUCAGAAGGGGAGGGGAGGUUUCUGACGGAGCAACUGUCAAAAUGCCACACGUUAUAAACAUUAAAAAACACUAACUGAAAUACAUAGUGAAGGAUAACACUGGAUGAGACGGCUUCUAUAACUCAUAAUUAGAAAAUCAAAUAAUGCAAGCCAAGUAGGCUAACUAAUAAACGGUUGCAUUGUGAUGAAGUGAUAGCUUAGCCUACUUACAGACAGGAUCAAAAUAAGAAGCAUUAAAUAGCUAACAUGCCAAGACUGGCAUAAACUGACAAAUAUACAGGACAGAAUAAAACUUCACUGUCCAGGAAUAAUAAAUAUCGAGGGCUGGAAAUGUAUGUGUGCUGCUCUCUAGUGUUGAGUAUUUGUUAUUGCGUAGACAUCUACUUGUUUUACAUAAGUUUUUCCCCCCACAGUAGUUUAUUAUGCCUAUUAAUUUUUUUUACACCAAUUAGACCUACGCCAGUCUCUCAACAUCGUUUCCACCAUAUGUUGAUACCACUUGAGUAGCGUUUUUUCAUUACUUUCCAGCUUUUAAUAAAAGUUUUUUACUUAAGGAAAAGCGUCAGCUUUUCCAAUUAUGAUUCCAAUUAUCAAAAAGAUUGAACCUAUCAUUAAGCUGUGAUAAAUAAAGAUAUAACCUGUUAUAACUGAUCUUCUUCUU